CAAAAUCCACUUCACUAGUCAGAGCCAUCAACUUUACAGUCUGCACCAACCCCUCCCUGUUUCUCUCUCUCUCCGGCGUGAGAGGGAGAGGGAGAGAGAGGAAGGUGUGUGCCUGUGGCAGCCUGAGUCACUGCAAGGUGCGGAAGGCCGGGCUGAUAUGAGUUCUGUCAAGUUCUUGCAGCUUGCUCCGAGAAAUUAGUGAGGUAGACACUGGCAGAUGUAUGCAUACAUAUACCAAUUCGUCAUAUAGACCAGUUCCUCGUGAGCUGAAUGCAUGCAAUUUUAUUUGGCAUUCAUUCUGAACCUUUUUCUCUUCCCCUCUUACACUCUUUUAUCAUAGCUUCUAGCUGAACUCUGAACUGAACAUGUUUGUACGCAUGCACAGCAGCACAGGCCAGUACAAUUCAUUACUAGUACAUAAUGGAUUACGGGUACACGUGCACACGCCGAACAUUCGUACGUAAACUAGGGGUGUGAUUGGUUACUCGCACCAGGUUUCGUGGAGCUACACCGUAUAAGUAGACCGAGUGGAAGUAAGCUAAAUGAAGUUAUAUUUGUUGAAAAGAAAAGUGUUUGUUUGGUUAUGUAUGUCUAGACAGUCUGAGCUAAAUUUCUAUUUGAUUGACUGAAUCUGAUAUAUCAUAAGCGGAUGUAAGAGUUGA